rnacentral:tRNA from 1 species
GGAAGCGUGCCGGAGUGGUUGAACGGGCCGCUCUCGAAAAGCGGUAUGUCCGCAAGGGCAUCGGAGGUUCGAAUCCUCCCGCUUCCG